rnacentral:rRNA from 1 species
GACGAACGCUGGCGGCGUGCUUAACACAUGCAAGUCGAACGGAAAGGCCCUGCUUUUGUGGGGUGCUCGAGUGGCGAACGGGUGAGUAACACGUGAGUAACCUGCCCUUGACUUUGGGAUAACUUCAGGAAACUGGGGCUAAUACCGGAUAGGAGCUCCUGCUGCAUGGUGGGGGUUGGAAAGUUUCGGCGGUUGGGGAUGGACUCGCGGCUUAUCAGCUUGUUGGUGGGGUAGUGGCUUACCAAGGCUUUGACGGGUAGCCGGCCUGGGAGGGUGACCGGCCACAUUGGGACUGAGAUACGGCCCAGACUGCUACGGGAGGCAGCAGUGGGGAAUAUUGCACAAUGGGCGGAAGCCUGAUGCAGCAACGCCGCGUGCGGGAUGACGGCCUUCGGGUUGUAAACCGCUUUCGCCUGUGACGAAGAGUGAGUGACGGUAAUGGGUAAAGAAGCAACGGCUAACUACGUG